UGUUCUGUGGCUUAGUUGGUUAAAGCGCCGGACUAUGCUGGAUAUGGAGUCGUGGGUUGGAAUCCCACCUGAACAA
rnacentral:tRNA from 1 species